UACGGAGGGUGCGAGCGUUGUCCGGAAUCACUGGGCGUAAAGGGCGCGUAGGUGGCCUGUGGAAGUCUGCGGUGAAAGCCCGGCGCUCAACGCCGGGUCGGCCGUGGAUACUCUCGGGCUCGAGCUUACUAGAGGCAGAUGGAAUUCCGGGUGUAGCGGUGGAAUGCGUAGAGAUCCGGAAGAACACCGGUGGCGAAGGCGGCCUGCUGGGUUCUGGCUGGACACUGAGGCGCGACAGCGUGGGGAGCAAACAGG
rnacentral:rRNA from 1 species